AACGCGAAGAACCUUACCAGGGCUUGACAUGCCUCUGACCGAUCUAGAGAUAGAUCUUUCCCUUCGGGGACAGGGGACACAGGUGGUGCAUGGUUGUCGUCAGCUCGUGUCGUGAGAUGUUGGGUUAAGUCCCGUAACGAGCGCAACCCUUGCCUUUAGUUGCUAACAGUAUGGCUGAGCACUCUAGAGGGACUGCCGAUGAUAAAUCGGAGGAAGGUGGGGAUGACGUCAAAUCAUCAUGCCCUUUAUGUCCUGGGCUACACACGUGCUACAAUGGUCGGUACAACGAGUAGCUACCUAGCGAUAGGAUGCCAAUCUCUUAAAGCCGAUCCCAGUUCGGAUUGCAGGCUGCAACUCGCCUGCAUGAAGUCGGAGUUGCUAGUAAUCGUGGAUCAGAAUGCCGCGGUGAAUGCGUUCCCGGGCCUUGUACACACCG
rnacentral:rRNA from 1 species